rnacentral:lncRNA from 1 species
GAAACAUAUUCAGAUUUCAGCCCUGAAAAUGGACAUGGCUGACAAGAGACCAACUGUAUAUUUUGGAGCACAGUGAGACCUGUAAAGAAAUCCAGAACAUCAGUGAAAGACCAACUCAACCACCUGGUUUCGAAUCGACAGGAAAAAAUGUCAAAAUUAAACCUUCAACAUCAGCAGAAAAUGAGGGCUACAUAGGAAAGCAUGCAACAGCUUAGAGAAAAUCCAUCGGAACUAACAAGCUUCCGGCGGCGCUUGUUGGAUCCCUCCUCCACAAUCUCAAAACGGACGGGCUGGUCUCUC